rnacentral:rRNA from 1 species
AUUGAACGCUGGCGGCAGGCCUAACACAUGCAAGUCGAGCGAGCGGCGGACGGGUGAGCAAGGUCUGGGCAACUGCCUGAUGGAGGGGGAUAACUACUGGAAACUGUAGCUAAUACCGCAUACCAUCCGAUUUGCCAAGAUGGGAUUAUCUAGUAGGUGGGGUAAUGGCCCACCUAGGCGACGAUCCCUACCUGGUCUGAGAGGAUUACCAGCCACACUGGAACGGAGACACGGUCCAGACUCCUACGGGAGGCAGCAGUGGGGAAUAUUGCACAAUGGGCGCAAGCCGGAUGCAGCCAUGCCGCGUGUGUGAAGAAGGCCUUCGGGUUGUAAAGCACUUUCAGCGAGGAGGCGUUACUCGCAGAAGAAGCACCGGCUAACUCCGUGCCAGCAGCCGCGGUAAUAC